rnacentral:lncRNA from 1 species
CAUGCCUCCAAUCUUCCAUUUUCCACCCUGGAGAAACAGUGAUUGAUUCUCAAACAUCAAUCUCCUGCCAGGGUUCACUGCGGGGCCACUUUAGAUGGGACCGAACCCGAAGCCCAAGGGCCUGCCUUCAGUUGAUGUGGUCCACAAUGGUCAGCCUCCAGGGAUGGAGAGGGAGACAGAGAAGAACGCAGAGCACAUUUGGAGGGAUAAAAGGACCCUCACGGCCCCACCCGUGAAAUGUGGAAACGUGCCCAAGUGGACAGUUGGCACUUUCAGAGCUCACCUGCGUUCCUGCCAUCAUAAUCUCCCAUGGGGAAACUGUGCUCCUUCUCAUCAUUCAACAGGCUGCUGAAUACA